GAUAAAAAUCUCAGACAUAUUGCAGUUCUUCACAAUCCUUCCCCAUUAAUUUGCUUAUAUUUUUUAUGGGUUUCCUUCCUAGGGGCAUCUAUGUAAAUCAUUUGGAGUUUUUGCCUUUCCUCUUAGAAGAAAAAUAUGAAUGAUUUGACUGAACAGGCCUAUAGCCAAACCCAAGAUGAUCUUUCCAAGCGUGAACUCCAUCUUCAAACUUCUAAUCUUAAACCUUAAAGAAGAAACUAUGGCAAUGUCUCUUCCACCACUCUUGACUAGCAUGAUGUGUUGCCAAAAGACUUCAGAUCAUAAGUGCGAAAUAAAAAAUCAAAAAUUGACUGCAUCUUUUCUCAUUGCUCAACAACUGUCAAACAACUGAGAAAUUUGUUUUGGAUGAAGCAGUAACAUUCCUUCUUCCACUCCCAGCCCCAUUCCACGUAGUCUGCAGUUCCUCACUGACCACUGAUUGAUGUCAACGUGCAAACUCUCAGACAGAAGACAAGAAAUAUGUCCUGGGUUUUCUGGUUCCUCAAGCUUCUGACUAGGACCAGAGCCAGCAAUUACACACACUUAUCCCUAUUCUUUCCAUGAAUGCAGAGAAAGAAAGACCUUCUUGGGCUGUAAGAAAUACUCUAUUCCUCACACAUAAUAACUAAGGCUCAGCAGCUUGUAAAAAGGCAUGGUCCAGGGCAUGUCAGGACAAGGAAGAGCGGUAAGUUGUUUCUCUGUCUUUCCUCUGUAUUCUUUCAUAAUUGGGACAAGGCCUCAGCUGACAAGGAGCUGGCAGAACACUGGGGACAGCUGGUAUGUAAGAACCAACACCGUCCCAUCAGUCAUUUAUUCAACACAUGUUUAUUGAGUAUCUGCAACGUGACUGCACCGUUAUAGAGUCUGCAUUGUUGUAGGUCCUGAGAAAAAAACUGCAAAGCAAAAGUACACACAGGCUUGCCCUCCUGAAAUGUACAGUCAGGUGGAGAUGGCAGAUAUUAAGAAACUAACUUGUGCUAUUGAAGUUUAAAAGAAAGGGAUCUUACUGAGUCUGAGGAGAGGGAUGAAUCAAUGCAGACUUCCUAGAAGAACUGGCAUAUAAACCAAGAACUGAAAGAGGAAUAGACAUUAAACCAGAAAACAGAAUGGAAGAAAAAUAGAUUUACGAUGCAAAAACCGUAAAGGAAAGAGUUCAGUAUGACUGGAAUAUAUAGACAGAAGAUAAUGGUUUAUGAUAAGACUGAAAAGGAAUGCAGGGUCUAGAUAAAGAGACUCUUCAAAUUAGUAAGAAUUUUUUUGAGACAAUAAAAGACCAUUUUGCUUUGG